GGAAGGUCGGCGCGGGCGGUGAGUUCGCCAACCCGGUCAGGGCCGAAAGGCAGCAGCCGUAACGAAAUUCUAUCGGGUCGUGUCCGGCCUUCCACC
rnacentral:SRP_RNA from 1 species